rnacentral:rRNA from 1 species
GAUGAACGCUAGCGGCAGGCCUAACACAUGCAAGUCGAGGGGUAACAGGGGAGCUUGCUCUCGCUGACGACCGGCGCACGGGUGCGUAACGCGUAUACAAUCUACCUUUUGCUGAGGGAUAGCCCAGAGAAAUUUGGAUUAACACCUCAUGGUAUUUGGAAGUGGCAUCGUUUUCAAAUUAAAGGCUACGGCAAAAGAUGAGUAUGCGUCCUAUUAGCUAGAUGGAGUGGUAACGGCACCCCAUGGCUACGAUAGGUAGGGGCCCUGAGAGGGGGAUCCCCCACACUGGUACUGAGACACGGACCAGACUCCUACGGGAGGCAGCAGUGAGGAAUAUUGGACAAUGGAGGGAACUCUGAUCCAGCCAUGCCGCGUGCAGGAAGACUGCCCUAUGGGUUGUAAACUGCUUUUAUACGGGAAGAAUAAGAGCUACGUGUAGUUCGAUGACGGUACCGUAAGAAUAAGCAUCGGCUAACUCCGUGCCAGCCGCCGCCGUAACAC